rnacentral:rRNA from 1 species
CAUAGCGACUAUCGUGGCAUAUCAAUAAGCGGAGGAAAAGAAACUAACAAGGAUUCCCUUAGUAACGGCGAGUGAAGCGGGAAGAGCUCAAAUUUGAAAUCUUCAAGGUUCUACCUUGACGAAUUGUAGUUUAUAGAAGUGUUUUCUGUUAGUGGAGUGGCAAAAGUUCUUUGGAAUAGGACAUCAUAGAGGGUGAGAAUCCCGUAUUUGGUCAUUCCUCCUAGCGUUGUGAUACACUUUCAACGAGUCGGAUUGUUUGGGAAUGCAGUCCAAAAUGGGUGGUAAAUUUCAUCUAAAGCUAAAUAUUGGCGAGAGACCGAUAGCGAAUAAGUACCGUGAGGGAAAGAUGAAAAGAACUUUGAAAAGAGAGUUAAACAGUACGUGAAAUUGUCAAAAGGGAAGCGUUUGACACCAGUGUUGUUUUUCCGAAAAUCAAUUACGAAUGUUUUGUUUUUGAGGAGUUAUGACUUCAUCGGCUUGCUCCUUUCUUUACGAAACUUUCUUAAUGCACUUUUCGGUUAACAAGUCAACAUCAAUUUCUUUUGUUGUAAAAGGGUAUGAGGAAGGUGGCUUUCUUUUCGGAGAAAGUGUUUAUAGCCUUGUGCCUCUAGCAAUCGGAGAGAUUGAGGUCUGCAGCGUAGAUCCUUCGGGGUUAGAUACAUUUGUGCUAAGUUAUAGCUUUUCAUAGACAACUUGUUGACUAUGAUUUAGUCAUUGUAGCUUACUCGCUUACUGCUAUUUUACCUACGCUUAGGAUGUUGAUAUGCAUGACUGAUAU